AGAACAUGCAAGAUGAGAUGAUGGAUCUGAUGGAUGUGUGCAACGAAAUCCAAGAAUCUCUUGGAAGAAGCUACAGUUUACCCAAUGACAUUGACGAGGAUGAACUUUUGUGUGAGCUUGAUGCUUUGGAAGCGGACAUGGGAACGGAGACAGAAUCUGAGGGCGUGCCGGUGUAUCGUCAAACUGAUAAGUAACCAGAUUUGGAUGCUGAACUCAAUUUGCCUUCGGCGCCAUCAGGGCAUGCAGCAGGGCCCAACAGACAGAAUGCCCAGGUAAAUUCAUCAUCAGUAAUUUUAUCCACAUCAUUGUCUUCAUAAAUUGAAGGAGAUUUUGCUGAUGGCUACCUCUAAUUGUAGGUAAUCAAAUAUGGGAAGAGGCAAUAUAUGAACCUUGAGCAGAGGAUAUGCACAGUUUGGUUCAGUGAUCCAGAUAAUCUGU